UACGGGGGGGCAAGCGUUGUUCGGAAUUACUGGGCGUAAAGGGCUCGUAGGCGGCCAACUAAGUCAGACGUGAAAUCCCUCGGCUUAACCGGGGAACUGCGUCUGAUACUGGAUGGCUAGAGGUUGGGAGAGGGAUGCGGAAUUCCAGGUGUAGCGGUGAAAUGCGUAGAUAUCUGGAGGAACACCGGUGGCGAAGGCGGCAUCCUGGACCAAUUCUGACGCUGAGUGAGCGAAAGCCAGGGGAGCAAACGGG
rnacentral:rRNA from 1 species